rnacentral:lncRNA from 10 species
UCAGAUGUCACUUGCCCUGUGGUAAGGAAGUGUAGUUGGCAGCUGGUGCAGUGGCAAGAAGAGAAAGGAGGUUCCCCAAGACAGAAAUAUCUCAGCAGGCCGUGAUCAUGGGCUACAUUCUCCAUACCAGCUUCAUAGCUCCAGUGAGAAAAUAAAUUCCUGCACCCAGGAGACGUGGAGUAAGAGAUACAGCUGACCUUGACCACAUUUCUUACUUCCAAGAAGAUUGUAGCAAUAAUUCAGGAUUUCAUCCAGGAUACCUCAUCACAGGU